GAGAGGAAAACAAGCAACUAAAAUCAAAGGGUUUCACUGAAAAGUUGAUAUGAUAUGAACCUUUUAUCAGCUGUUUUCUAUCUGCCAAAAUAUCCAUCCACCUGUUAUUCAGCUCCAUAGGCUGUAACAGGUCAUAUUAUUGUAAAAAGAACCAGAAUUACGGGUGGAUGCGCAUUUCGGCAGCAAGAAUAACAGCUGUUGCCGAAAAAUGCAUCCACCCAAUAAGUUAUAAUUCUGAUUUUUUGGAGUCACAAACUGCUGCCAGCUCAUAUUUGGACAGCGUGGAUUCCCUUUGUACAGUAAUAUAACCUACUACAUUCUAUGACGCUGAAUGAGAGGUGGACGCAUAUUUCGGCAGACAGAAGUUUCAGUGAAACCCUUUGAUUUUAGUUGCUUGUUUUCCUCUC